GUAGAGCUCAGUGGUAGAGCACUUACCUACCAAGUACAAGACCCUGAGUUCAAAUCUCAGUUUACC
rnacentral:tRNA from 1 species